CGGAGGGGACGGAGCACGACACGGGGACCCCUGGCCCUCGCCUCCAUUCGCAGGUGGCAGACAGAGCACCGACGAAGCGCCCAGCGCUGUCUGAGCUCCUGACGUGUCUUAGGGACCUACUCAAGUCACACGACACUUGGGUGAGAGUUUUACCGACGAAGAACCAGGCACUCGAGCAUUUCUUUCUGGAAUAUUGUUUGGCACCAAAACAACUUAAACCGUAUUCUUUGUAAGUAAUCUAGAGGAGAGGUAAACAGCGACUGGUGAAGGAACAAAGAUCCAUGAUAGCCUAGGUGUUGUAAGUUGAUCAAAAAGAUGCCACGGGGUUCCUGGCUGGCUCAGUCAGUAGAGCAUGCGGCUCUUGAGUUCAGGGUUGUGAAUUUGAGCCCCAUGUU